GACGAACGCUGGCGGCGUGCUUAACACAUGCAAGUCGAACGGAAAGGCUCCAGCUUGCUGGAGUACUCGAGUGGCUAACGGGUGAGUGACACGUGGGUAAUCUGCCCUGCACUCUGGGAUAAGCCUGGGAAACUUGGUCUAAUACUGGAUAUGACCUUUCUCCUUAUGGGGUUUGGUGGAAAGUUUUUCGGUGUAGGAUGAGCCCGCGGCCUAUCAGCUUGUUGGUGGGGUGAUGGCCUACCAAGGCGACGACGGGUAGCCGGCCUGAGAGGGUGAUCGGCCACAUUGGGACUGAGAUACGGCCCAGACUCCUACGGGAGGCAGCAGUGGGGAAUAUUGCACAAUGGGCGGAAGCCUGAUGCAGCGACGCCGCGUGAGGGAUGACGGCCUUCGGGUUGUAAACCUCUUUCAGCAGGGACGAAGCGUAAGUGACGGUACCUGCAGAAGAAGCACCGGCUAACUAUGUG
rnacentral:rRNA from 1 species